rnacentral:rRNA from 1 species
CCUGAACGCUGGCGGCGUGGCUAAGACAUGCAAGUCGCACGGGGUAGCAAUACCCAGUGGCGAACGGGUGAGUAAUGAAUCGCUAAUGUGCCCCGGACUCUGAGAUAGCUGCCCGAAAGGGCAGGUAAUACCAGAUGAUAUAACCGAACCGCAUGGUUUGGUUCUCAAAGGUCCGCCGGUCUGGGAGCAGGCGAUUUCGUAUCAGCUAGUUGGUGAGGUAACGGCNCACCAAGGCGACGACGCGUAGCCGGACUGAGAGGUUGGCCGGCCACAUUGGGACUGAGACACUGCCCAGACUCCGUACGGGGGGCUGCAGUAACGAAUCUUCCGCAAUGCAACGAAAGUGUGACGGAGCGACGCCGCGUGUAGGACGAA